rnacentral:rRNA from 1 species
UUAAGCGACUAAGCGUACACGGUGGAUGCCCUGGCAGUCAGAGGCGAUGAAGGACGUGCUAAUCUGCGAUAAGCGUCGGUAAGGUGAUAUGAACCGUUAUAACCGGCGAUUUCCGAAUGGGGAAACCCAGUGUGUUUCGACACACUAUCAUUAACUGAAUCCAUAGGUUAAUGAGGCGAACCGGGGGAACUGAAACAUCUAAGUACCCCGAGGAAAAGAAAUCAACCGAGAUUCCCCCAGUAGCGGCGAGCGAACGGGGAGCAGCCCAGAGCCUGAAUCAGUGUGUGUGUUAGUGGAAGCGUCUGGAAAGGCGCGCGAUACAGGGUGACAGCCCCGUACACAAAAAUGCACAUGCUGUGAGCUCGAUGAGUAGGGCGGGACACGUGGUAUCCUGUCUGAAUAUGGGGGGACCAUCCUCCAAGGCUAAAUACUCCUGACUGACCGAUAGUGAACCAGUACCGUGAGGGAAAGGCGAAAAGAACCCCGGCGAGGGGAGUGAAAAAGAACCUGAAACCGUGUACGUACAAGCAGUGGGAGCACGCUUAGGCGUGUGACUGCGUACCUUUUGUAUAAUGGGUCAGCGACUUAUAUUCUGUAGCAAGGUUAACCGAAUAGGGGAGCCGAAGGGAAACCGAGUCUUAACUGGGCGUUAAGUUGCAGGGUAUAGACCCGAAACCCGGUGAUCUAGCCAUGGGCAGGUUGAAGGUUGGGUAACACUAACUGGAGGACCGAACCGACUAAUGUUGAAAAAUUAGCGGAUGACUUGUGGCUGGGGGUGAAAGGCCAAUCAAACCGGGAGAUAGCUGGUUCUCCCCGAAAGCUAUUUAGGUAGCGCCUCGUGAAUUCAUCUCCGGGGGUAGAGCACUGUUUCGGCAAGGGGGUCAUCCCGACUUACCAACCCGAUGCAAACUGCGAAUACCGGAGAAUGUUAUCACGGGAGACACACGGCGGGUGCUAACGUCCGUCGUGAAGAGGGAAACAACCCAGACCGCCAGCUAAGGUCCCAAAGUCAUGGUUAAGUGGGAAACGAUGUGGGAAGGCCCAGACAGCCAGGAUGUUGGCUUAGAAGCAGCCAUCAUUUAAAGAAAGCGUAAUAGCUCACUGGUCGAGUCGGCCUGCGCGGAAGAUGUAACGGGGCUAAACCAUGCACCGAAGCUGCGGCAGCGACGCUUAUGCGUUGUUGGGUAGGGGAGCGUUCUGUAAGCCUGUGAAGGUGUGCUGUGAGGCAUGCUGGAGGUAUCAGAAGUGCGAAUGCUGACAUAAGUAACGAUAAAGCGGGUGAAAAGCCCGCUCGCCGGAAGACCAAGGGUUCCUGUCCAACGUUAAUCGGGGCAGGGUGAGUCGACCCCUAAGGCGAGGCCGAAAGGCGUAGUCGAUGGGAAACAGGUUAAUAUUCCUGUACUUGGUGUUACUGCGAAGGGGGGACGGAGAAGGCUAUGUUGACCGGGCGACGGUUGUCCCGGUUUAAGCGUGUAGGCUGGUUUUCCAGGCAAAUCCGGAAAAUCAAGGCUGAGGCGUGAUGACGAGGCACUACGGUGCUGAAGCAACAAAUGCCCUGCUUCCAGGAAAAGCCUCUAAGCAUCAGGUAACAUCAAAUCGUACCCCAAACCGACACAGGUGGUCAGGUAGAGAAUACCAAGGCGCUUGAGAGAACUCGGGUGAAGGAACUAGGCAAAAUGGUGCCGUAACUUCGGGAGAAGGCACGCUGAUAUGUAGGUGAAGUCCCUCGCGGAUGGAGCUGAAAUCAGUCGAAGAUACCAGCUGGCUGCAACUGUUUAUUAAAAACACAGCACUGUGCAAACACGAAAGUGGACGUAUACGGUGUGACGCCUGCCCGGUGCCGGAAGGUUAAUUGAUGGGGUCAGCGCAAGCGAAGCUCUUGAUCGAAGCCCCGGUAAACGGCGGCCGUAACUAUAACGGUCCUAAGGUAGCGAAAUUCCUUGUCGGGUAAGUUCCGACCUGCACGAAUGGCGUAAUGAUGGCCAGGCUGUCUCCACCCGAGACUCAGUGAAAUUGAACUCGCUGUGAAGAUGCAGUGUACCCGCGGCAAGACGGAAAGACCCCGUGAACCUUUACUAUAGCUUGACACUGAACAUUGAGCCUUGAUGUGUAGGAUAGGUGGGAGGCUUAGAAGUGUGGACGCCAGUCUGCAUGGAGCCGACCUUGAAAUACCACCCUUUAAUGUUUGAUGUUCUAACGUUGACCCGUAAUCCGGGUUGCGGACAGUGUCUGGUGGGUAGUUUGACUGGGGCGGUCUCCUCCUAAAGAGUAACGGAGGAGCACGAAGGUUGGCUAAUCCUGGUCGGACAUCAGGAGGUUAGUGCAAUGGCAUAAGCCAGCUUGACUGCGAGCGUGACGGCGCGAGCAGGUGCGAAAGCAGGUCAUAGUGAUCCGGUGGUUCUGAAUGGAAGGGCCAUCGCUCAACGGAUAAAAGGUACUCCGGGGAUAACAGGCUGAUACCGCCCAAGAGUUCAUAUCGACGGCGGUGUUUGGCACCUCGAUGUCGGCUCAUCACAUCCUGGGGCUGAAGUAGGUCCCAAGGGUAUGGCUGUUCGCCAUUUAAAGUGGUACGCGAGCUGGGUUUAGAACGUCGUGAGACAGUUCGGUCCCUAUCUGCCGUGGGCGCUGGAGAACUGAGGGGGGCUGCUCCUAGUACGAGAGGACCGGAGUGGACGCAUCACUGGUGUUCGGGUUGUCAUGCCAAUGGCACUGCCCGGUAGCUAAAUGCGGAAGAGAUAAGUGCUGAAAGCAUCUAAGCACGAAACUUGCCCCGAGAUGAGUUCUCCCUGACUCCUUGAGAGUCCUGAAGGAACGUUGAAGACGACGACGUUGAUAGGCCGGGUGUGUAAGCGCAGCGAUGCGUUGAGCUAACCGGUACUAAUGAACCGUGAGGCUUAACCUU